rnacentral:rRNA from 1 species
AGAUUGAACGCUGGCGGCAUGCUUUACACAUGCAAGUCGAACGGCAGCGCGGGGCAACCUGGCGGCGAGUGGCGAACGGGUGAGUAAUAUAUCGGAACGUACCCAAGAGUGGGGGAUAACGUAGCGAAAGUUACGCUAAUACCGCAUACGAUCUAAGGAUGAAAGCAGGGGACCGCAAGGCCUUGUGCUCCUGGAGCGGCCGAUAUCUGAUUAGCUAGUUGGUAGGGUAAAGGCCUACCAAGGCUACGAUCAGUAGCUGGUCUGAGAGGACGACCAGCCACACUGGAACUGAGACACGGUCCAGACUCCUACGGGAGGCAGCAGGUGGGGAAUUUUGGACAAGUGGGCGCAAGCCUGAUCCAGCAAUGCCGCGUGAGUGAAGAAGGCCGUUCGGUGUAAAGCUUCUUUGUCAAGGGAAGAACGGUAGGAGACUAAGUAUCUCCCACUAAUGAACGGUACCUAGAAGAAUAAGACGAACCGACUAACGUACGUAGACCUAGCACGCCGUA